GACAGAGGGUGCGAACGUUGUUCGGAAUUACUGGGCGUAAAGGGCGCGUAGGCGGUUCGUUAAGUCCUGUGUGAAAUCCCCCGGCUCAACUGGGGAACUGCACAGGAAACUAGCGGGCUUGAGUUCGGGAGAGGGAAGCGGAAUUCCAGGUGUAGCGGUGAAAUGCGUAGAGAUCGGGAAGAACACCAAUGGCGAAAGCACUCUGCUGGGCCGAAACUGACACUGAGAGACGAAAGCUAGGGGAGCGAAUGGG
rnacentral:rRNA from 1 species